UCAAAGCAGAGUACAUUGGUGCGCGAAAUUAAAUCGCGCGAAUUUAAAGCUGAGCGAAAAUGAGUACGACUCGAAUUUUAAUACAAG